GCCGGUUAGGCGGAGGAGCGCGUCAGGCUUAGAACUUGAAUAGGACUAUAAUAGUCAAGCGGUG
rnacentral:tRNA from 1 species